AGGGAGAGAGCAAAAAAGAGGUGGACCAACACUGAUCCUUGAAGAACUGAAAGUCUUCAGGGUCUGUAGCAGAUGCCAGCAGGGCAGUCAGGACAUUAAUUAGGCAUGGAAUAUUUUGAGCAUAGAGAGGGAAAGUGUAGAUGGGCUGGAACCCACGACUCUUGAUGAAGACACUUCUAUUAAAUCUGGCAAGGAUGCAAACUGAAACCACAGUGGUCCAGCCUUCCCAAGAGGCCUUUGCUCUUCUGCACCUACAGUGACCCAAAGGCAUUGCAGGGUAUCCUGAGUGAACUCACAGGAGGCCUCUGUGGGGAAAUUCACACACGCUAAGUGUGCCAGCCAUCAGGUGCUAUCACCUAGAAGAUUGCUCUAUUCAUUUCCAUGCCCCUACCCCACCCCACACCUACACCCUACCCUACCCCCAACACCCAGAAAACAGGAAAAAAUUUAGGCAAAAGUCCCUCUUCCAUGAAAAGUGAGAUAGAAAUUUCUAUCUUCAGACAGUGUUUUCACUAUAUAGCUUCAAUUGGUCUCAAACUUGUUAAUCUUCUGCCUCAGCUUCCUGAGAGCCAGAAUUACGACAUGCAGUGUUGUAACUUGAGACAUUUAAUGUUCUCCAGCAUCUCAUGGAUCCUUUAACACAGCAUUGUGGGACCCAGCUCAGCUCAGCUCCACACAAGGCUGAGUCAGAGGUCUACAUUCCUGUGGGAAUUGGCGAUGUCACCCUUGAAUUUCUCAUCUAAACCCUGAGCUGCUCUGUUCAAGAAAGCCGUGGCUGGUUGUCUGCAGUCACUGGUCUUCAUUCAGGAUUCAUCAGCGCAGGCCGUGCUCUUCCUAAGGAGUACCAGCCCUAUCUGAGCAUAACAGAGGACUAGGCUUGGUGCCCCUUCGUGAGACUCAUCUGACAAGCCAUCUUUGCCUCAGAGCUCCCUGCUGAGACUUUGUGCAUAGAGGUGUGAGACCCCACCUACAUGACUCUGUCCUCUGAUCCCCGACUUACUUUUCACGGAGUCACUGUAUCACUCAGAUGCCUUUUCUUUCCUUCUAGCUUGCUUGCUUCUUGUUCUCCCAUGGGAACCACCUCAUAAACCUCUCAUUCCAUCCUG